GGUACCCAGUGAUAGCCUUGGCCUCAAGGAGCGGGGGACUAGCUCUCCCGCGAAUGGUCACCCCUUUUUCCCGACGGUGGAUUUGUUUCUGACCUUUGACCUGGAGCUUCUCUGCUCACCCAGGUCCCUGAACUCCACUCAGGCGUCCAGACCUCCUGUGGGUGAGGAGGGAACUGCUGAGGAAAGGCCCCCCUUCUCUCCAACCCUCCCUCCCUCCUGCGGACCCUACAUCCAGCCAAGGGUUUUCUUAGUGUCUUUGCAAAGGCUUAGAAUCGGACUGUAGCCAGGGCGGCUCUGUCCUGUCUGCAUAUUCAAGCUUCUUUCUACCCACUUCUACCUGCAGAGUCUCGGAGGCCGGAGCUGAGCCUCCAGCUGACGACGAAAGAAAAUGGGCGUGAGAGAGGUGUUCAGAGCCACCCAGCUUACUAGAGGCCGAGCCAGCACUAGCCCCCAGGGCUCCUGUCCGGAGGAGGCUGGGCGGGGCCCUCAUCGCUAAGCCCCGCCCCUCCCCACCCUCCACCCCUUCAGACCUUCUCACGGAUUUCCUCUCCUCCAGGGGCAGGACUCUGAUAGGAGGUCAUGGAGAGAGAACCCAGUGUCUGCUUUUCCCAGACCAGCAAGGAAGGACCAUGUGCCAGGAACAUCUGGGACAGGACCAAUCUGAGAGGUUGAAAACCAGGUGGUGACACCACAGCCUCCUCAGAGGAGAGAGCUGACCACAACAUGAGGCUGUCAGACCUGUAUGUGAAGCUGGAUGUUUCAUUUGGUGUCUUCUGGGGGAAACUUUUGUUUUGUAGGAAACCAAGUCUCACUGGGAGCUUCUCCCUGUUAUGGCUAUGUGUGAUAAAGAUAAUGACAAUAAAACCUAUAAAACUA